rnacentral:rRNA from 1 species
UGAACUCGGCAAAUUGCCCCCGUAACUUCGGGAGAAGGGGGGCCUCCGCUGGUGAUCAGACUUGCUUUGUGAGCUGGUGGGGGUCGCAGAGGCCAGGGGGAAGCGACUGUUUACUAAAAACACAGGUCCGUGCGAAGUCGUAAGACGAUGUAUACGGACUGACGCCUGCCCGGUGCUGGAACGUUAAGGGGACCGGUUAGCGCAUUUCGGUGUGCGAGGCUGAGAACUUAAGCGCCAGUAAACGGCGGUGGUAACUAUAACCAUCCUAAGGUAGCGAAAUUCCUUGUCGGGUAAGUUCCGACCUGCACGAAUGGCGUAACGACUUCCCCGCUGUCUCAACCGCAGACCCGGCGAAAUUGCACUACGAGUAAAGAUGCUCGUUACGCGCAGCAGGACGGAAAGACCCCGGGACCUUCACUACAGCUUGACAUUGGCGUUUGGAACGUCUUGUGUAGGAUAGGUGGGAGACUGUGAAGCUGUCACGCUAGUGGCGGUGGAGUCAUUGGUGAAAUACCACUCUGGUCGUUUUGAACGUCUAACUUCGGUCCGUGAUCCGGAUCAGGGACAGUGUCUGGUGGGUAGUUUAACUGGGGCGGUUGCCUCCUAAAGAGUAACGGAGGCGCCCAAAGGUUCCCUCAGCCUGGUUGGUAAUCAGGUGUCGAGUGUAAGUGCACAAGGGAGCUUGACUGUGAGACCGACGGGUCGAGCAGGAGCGAAAGCUGGGACUAGUGAUCCGGCGGUGGCAUGUGGAAGCGCCGUCGCUCAACGGCUAAAAGGUACCCCGGGGAUAACAGGCUGAUCUUCCCCAAGAGUCCAUAUCGACGGGAUGGUUUGGCACCUCGAUGUCGGCUCGUCGCAUCCUGGGGCUGGAGUAGGUCCCAAGGGUUGGGCUGUUCGCCCAUUAAAGCGGUACGCGAGCUGGGUUUAGAACGUCGCGAGACAGUUCGGUCCCUAUCCGCUGCGCGCGCAGGAGACUUGAAAGGAGCUGUCCCUAGUACGAGAGGACCGGGACGGACGAACCUCUGGUGUGCCAGUUGUUCCGCCAGGAGCAUGGCUGGUUGGCUACGUUCGGAAGGGAUAACCGCUGAAAGCAUCUAAGCGGGAAGCUCGCCUUGAGAUGAGGUCUCCCACCACGAAAGUGGGUAAGGCCCCCGGGAGACGACCGGGUUGAUAGGCCGGAGGUGGAAGCAUGGUAACGUGUGGAGCUGACCGGUACUAAUAGGCCGAGGACUUGACCAC